rnacentral:rRNA from 1 species
GACGAGCCACACGAACGUUAUUCGGAAUUACUGGGCGUAAAGCGUGCGCAGGCGGUUUUGUAAGCCAGAUGUGAAAGCCCCGGGCUUAACCUGGGAAUGGCAUUUGGGACUGCAAGGCUUGAGUGCGGCAGAGGAGACUGGAAUUCCUGGUGUAGCAGUGAAAUGCGUAGAUAUCAGGAGGAAUACCGAUGGCGAAGGCAGGUCUCUGGGCUGACACUGACGCUCAUGCACGAAAGCGUGGGGAGCAAACAGG